GACCUGGUGGUGAAUGGGUCACACCCACUUUUCUUACGCAGUUAUAUCAGUAAAAUUAUACGGUGGGAGUCCUGGUUCGAUUCCGGGCUAGGUCA